rnacentral:tRNA from 1 species
GAUCAAGUUAGUUUAAAACAAAAAUUUCAGGAUGUGGGUCUGAAGAAGCAGAUGGUCCCUGCACUUGAU